GAUGAACGCUAGCGGCAGGCUUAACACAUGCAAGUCGAGGGGCAGCAUUGGUACUUGUACCAGAUGGCGACCGGCGCACGGGUGAGUAACGCGUAUGCAACCUACCUUUUACAGGGGGAUAGCCAGAAGAAAUUCUGAUUAAUACCCCGUAGUAUUGUUGACCGGCAUCGGUUUAACAAUUAAAGUUUCGGCGGUAAAAGAUGGGCAUGCGUUUUAUUAGUUAGUUGGUAAGGUAACGGCUUACCAAGACUACGAUAAAUAGGAGUCCUGAGAGGGAGAUCCCCCACACUGGUACUGAGACACGGACCAG
rnacentral:rRNA from 1 species